CCAAUAGCGUAUAUUAAAGUUGCUGCAGUUAAAAAGCUCGUAGUUGAAUUUCGGGACCAUCAUGUCGGUCGUGCCUCGGUACGUACUGGCAUUGUUGGUUUCUCCCUUCUGACGAACCAUGAUGUCAUUUAUUUGGUGUUGUGGGGAAUCAGGACUGUUACUUUGAAAAAAUUAGAGUGUUUAAAGCAGGCUCACGCUUGAAUACAUGAGCAUGGAAUAAUGAAAUAGGACGUUUGAUUCUAUUUUGUUGGUUUCUAGGAUCGACGUAAUGAUUAAUAGGGAUAGUUGGGGGCAUUAGUAUUCAAUUGUCAGAGGUGAAAUUCUUGGAUUUAUUGAAGACUAACUACUGCGAAAGCAUUUGCCAAGGAUGUUUUCAUUAAUCAAGAACGAAAGUUAGGGGAUCGAAGACGAUCAGAUACCGUCGUAGUCUUAACCAUAAACUAUGCCGACUAGGGAUCGGAUGAUGUUAAUUUUUUAAUGACUCAUUCGGCGCCUUACG
rnacentral:rRNA from 1 species